AGUUACCUUAAAUUCAGCUCAGCUUUACUUUUAAAAUAGUUGGAAUUACUAUUGUGAGCAUGAUCCCUCCCUUGGUAGAUUUGUCUUUGCAGACAGGUCCACUGAAUCCCUUCUCCCAUGAAACCACACAAGAGCGAGAUUGUCAGAAAUUAACAAUAUUUUCAGGGCGGUUACAGCCAAAAUAAUAGUAUGAAAAUGAAUAACCACAAAACCAUUCCACCUAAUAAGUCUUUUCAUUUGCAUCCUUGGCUGCCACACUUCUUGUCUGAAGGUGCAGGAUUACAGAAAUAUGUAAUACUUUUUUCUGUCACAUUGAACCCAGCUUUCAACUACAAGCUUAAAAAGCUAAUCCUCACCCCCAUCUAAUUAUAGUAUAGGUAUUGCUGCUGUCACUGACUUUUUAUUUCCUAGUUGUAAUUUUUAAUCUUCCUGUGAAAUAGCUUUAACAGUAGGUCCCCAUCUUCCAAGCAUUUACACACAAAGACAGAAGAAUUGCUCACAUCAGUCAAAGUUACUCAUUUACUUGUGGGAUCAGGGCUCUCUAGUUUGGAUGUAUUUUUAAUUUAGGAAAGCUACUGAACUGAUAUAAUUUGGGGUAGCAUCUUUGAAGGUUUGCAGUCCUCAUUAGGAAUAAGUGAACUUUUGUGUGUGUGGGUUUUUUGUUCUUUUUUUUUAAAGAAAACUAAGUUUGUAUACUACUUUAAGUCUGGCCCUGAUCCUGAAUGAGCUUCAUACAGGUGGUUUACAGGAUUGAGAUCUUUGUUUACUCACUAGAAGAGGAGAAUGCUGGAAAGCUCCAAAGCUUUCUGCACAUCUGUGUGGCCACGUGUAGAUUUACUCUGAAGCACUACGUUGCAAACAUCCCUGAAACACAUACAGCAAGCAGUAGCAUCAAAUUAGAAGGCAAAAAAUAUCAAGAAAGCAGAACAAUUAAUCUACCUGGGGAGCACCCAUAUUCACCAAUGGAGACCUCAAGAAGGAAGUGACAUAAAGAAUAGGAAAGGCAUCCACAGCAUUUACUAAACUCAACAAUGUAUAGAAAUUAAAGUUAAACAGCAUCAGAACAAAACUGAGAAUUUUCAAUUCAAAUGUAAUCUCAGUGCUAGCACAUGGCUGUGAGAGCUGGAGAGCUAUUAAAACAUUAGAUGGAAAACUAGAUGCCUUCAAAAAUACAUGCUUACAGAAGAUUUGGGGAAUAGCUUGUAAAGAUUUUGUCACCAAAGAAGAGAUCUGAGAAAUCAGCAAUGAGCAGCUUGCUUCCAUCAAAAUCCAAAGGAAGUAUUGGACAUAUUUGGGGCAUGUACUCCAGAUAUCAAUACACAUGCUUCUACAUGAAGCUGCCAAGUGGAAAACGAUUGGUGUGAGGAAACAAGAGCACCCAACAGAGACGUUAAGAAGAACACUUAACAGGGAGGGUAGAACAGUCGAUCUCAAUGCCCUAGAGCAAACAGAAGCAGCAGCAAAUUACAAUGAGGAAUGGAAGACUGGUUUCCACCCUGUGCACCAACUUUGCCUUGGGAAAGACGUAGAAUUAAGUUACUGAAAUUUACUGCCCAUUAUUUCUUCCAUAUAUUGAGUAUAUUGCAUUUAAAUGAGACAAUGAGUUAACAUCUCUGUUACACAAAGAGAAGGCUGAUAAAUAUUAAUGAGAUUUUCUUCUU